UACACUCCUACGGGAGGCAGCAGUGGGGAAUAUUGCACAAUGGGCGCAAGCCUGAUGCAGCCAUGCCGCGUGUGUGAAGAAGGCCUUCGGGUUGUAAAGCACUUUCAGCGGGGAGGAAGGCGAUACGGUUAAUAACCGUGUUGAUUGACGUUACCCGCAGAAGAAGCACCGGCUAACUCCGUGCCAGCAGCCGCGGUAAUACGGAGGGUGCAAGCGUUAAUCGGAAUUACUGGGCGUAAAGCGCACGCAGGCGGUCUGUCAAGUCGGAUGUGAAAUCCCCGGGCUCAACCUGGGAACUGCAUUCGAAACUGGCAGGCUUGAGUCUUGUAGAGGGGGGUAGAAUUCCAGGUGUAGCGGUGAAAUGCGUAGAGAUCUGGAGGAAUACCGGUGGCGAAGGCGGCCCCCUGGACAAAGACUGACGCUCAGGUGCGAAAGCGUGGGGAGCAAACAGGAUUAGAUACCCGAGUAGUCCCAU
rnacentral:rRNA from 1 species